AGCAACGCCGCGUGUGUGAGUGAAGGCCUUCGGGUCGUAAAGCACUUUCUGGGAGAUGAGAAGGACAGUAUCCCAGGAAUAAGUCUCGGCUAACUACGUGCCAGCAGCCGCGGUAAAACGUAGGAGGCGAGCGUUACCCGGAUUCACUGGGCGUAAAGCGCGUGCAGGUGGCGCGGUAAGUUGGGCGUGAAAUCUCCCGGCUCAACUGGGAGAGGUCGUUCAAUACUACCGUGCUUGAGAGCAGAAGAGGAAGAUGGAAUUCCCGGUGUAGUGGUGAAAUGCGUAGAUAUCGGGAGGAACACCAGUGGCGAAGGCGAUCUUCUGGUCUGUUUCUGACACUCAGACGCGACAGCUAGGGUAGUAAACGGGAUUAGAGACCCCGGUAAUCCUAGCCGUAAACGAUGUAAACUUGGCGUUGGUGGGUUAAACUCCAUCAGUGCCGUAGCAAACGCGAUAAGUUUACCGCCUGGGGACUACGGCCGCAAGGUUA
rnacentral:rRNA from 1 species